AGAGAAAUAAGGGAGGUUACUGCUAAUAACCUCGUGUCAGUUAAUUUUGACUUUCUCUU
rnacentral:tRNA from 1 species